rnacentral:rRNA from 1 species
AGCUAAUACUUGCUUUAGCACUCUUGAUUAAGUCCUUGAGUGUGUACUUGUUAAGCCUUUUAAGAAAAAAGUUAUUAACUUAAGGAAUUAUAACAAAGAAGCAACACGUAAAUGGAUUUUCCAUUUUUUAGUGUGUAUCAAUCGAGUUUCUGACCUAUCAGCUUUUGAUGUUAGGGUAUUGGCCUAACAUGGCUAUGACGGGUAACGGGGAAUUAGAGUUCGAUUCCGGAGAGGGAGCCUGAGAAAUAGCUACCACAUCUAAGGAAGGCAGCAGGCGCGUAAAUUACCCAAUUCUAAAGAAGAGAGGUAGUGACAAGAAAUAACAAUACAAGGCCAAUCUGGCUUUGUAAUUGGAAUGAUGGGAAUUUAAAACCUUCCCAAAACUCAAUUGGAGGGCAAGUCUGGUGCCAGCAGCCGCGGUAAUUCCAGCUCCAAUAGCGUAUAUUAAAAUUGUUGCAGUUAAAACGCUCGUAGUUGAAUUUCAAAGAAUCGAUAUUUUAAGUAGCACUUUGUAGAUUAAUCCACAUAACUGAUACUACGUAUCGACUUUGUGCGCAUUUUUCUACUUAUGUGUUCUUUUAAUUAAAAUGAUUCUUUUUAAGAUCUUUCUUUUUUGCUUCGGCAUUUUAGGAGAUCUUGUUACUUUGAGUAAAUUAGAGUGUUCAAAGCAAACAGAUUAUAGCAUCUUUAUGCGUUUGAAUACUACAGCAUGGAAUAACAAAAUUGAACAAGUCAGAAUUUUGUUCUUUUUUCUUAUUUUGGCUUAGUUACGAUUAAUAGGAGUAGCUUGGGGGCAUUUGUAUUCAGAUGUCAGAGGUGAAAUUCUUAGAUUUUCUGGAGACAAACAACUGCGAAAGCAUUUGCCUAAAAUACUUCCAUUAAUCAAGAACGAAAGUUAAGGGAGUGAAGACGAUCAGAUACCGUCGUAAUCUUAACCAUAAACUAUGCCGACUAGGCUUUGGAUGAAAGAUUUUAAAAUAAGAGUUUUUUCUCU